GCCAUUGUGGUGUAGUGGUUUGAGUACUGGCUACAACUCUGGAGACCAGGGUUCGAAUCCUUGCUCAGCCA